GACGAACGCUGGCGGCGUGCUUAACACAUGCAAGUCGAACGGAAAGGCCCUGCUUUUGUGGGUUGCUCGAUUGGCGAACGGGUGAGUAACACGUGAGUAACCUGCCCUUGACUUUGGGAUAACUUCAGGAAACUGGGGCUAAUACCGGAUAGGAGCUCCUGCUGCAUGGUGGGCGUUGGAAAGUUUCGGCGGUUGGGGAUGGACUCGCGGCUUAUCAGCUUGUUGGUGGGGUAGUGGCUUACCAAGGCUUUGACGGGUAGCCGGCCUGAGAGGGUGACCGGCCACAUUGGGACUGAGAUACGGCCCAGACUCCUACGGGAGGCAGCAGUGGGGAAUAUUGCACAAUGGGCGGAAGCCAGAUGCAGCAACGCCGCGUGCGGGAUGACGGCUUUCGGGUUGUAAACCGAUUUCGCCUGUGACGAAGCGUGAGUGACGGUAAUGGGUAAAGAAGCACCGGCUAACUACGUG
rnacentral:rRNA from 1 species